rnacentral:rRNA from 1 species
CCUACGGGAGGCAGCAGUAGGGAAUCUUCCACAAUGGGCGAAAGCCUGAUGGAGCAACGCCGCGUGGGUGAAGAAGGUCUUCGGAUCGUAAAACCCUGUUGUUAGAGAAGAAAGUGCGUGAGAGUAACUGUUCACGUUUCGACGGUAUCUAACCAGAAAGCCACGGCUAACUACGUGCCAGCAGCCGCGGUAAUACGUAGGUGGCAAGCGUUAUCCGGAUUUAUUGGGCGUAAAGGGAACGCAGGCGGUCUUUUAAGUCUGAUGUGAAAGCCUUCGGCUUAACCGGAGUAGUGCAUUGGAAACUGGGGAAGUAGAGAGGAGAUGAGGAAAGUGGAACGCAAGGUGGAGCGGUGAAAUGCGUAGAUAUAUGGAAGAACACCAGUGGCGAAAGCGGCUCUCUGAUCUGUAACUGACGCUGAGGUUCGAAAGCGUGGGUAGCAAACAGGAUUAGAUACCCUAGUAGUC